rfam:Gossypium hirsutum cultivar TM-1 chromosome 16, whole genome shotgun sequence
AACCCAUGGUGAGGGCACAUUCGUAAUACGUCCUUAUAUCUCUCCUAUGCAUCAUAAAGAGUUUCUAGAUCCAUCUGCACAAAAGAAGAGAUAUCAUUCCUCAACUU